CGGCUAUCGCUUACAGAUGGGCCCGCGGUGCAUUAGCUAGUUGGUAGGGUAAUGGCCUACCAAGGCAACGAUGCAUAGCCGACCUGAGAGGGUGAUCGGCCACACUGGGACUGAGACACGGCCCAGACUCCUACGGGAGGCAGCAGUAGGGAAUCUUCCGCAAUGGACGAAAGUCUGACGGAGCAACGCCGCGUGUAUGAAGAAGGUUUUCGGAUCGUAAAGUACUGUUGUUAGAGAAGAACAAGGAUAAGAGUAACUGCUUGUCCCUUGACGGUAUCUAACCAGAAAGCCACGGCUAACUACGUGCCAGCAGCCGCGGUAAUACGUAGGUGGCAAGCGUUGUCCGGAUUUAUUGGGCGUAAAGCGCGCGCAGGCGGUCUUUUAAGUCUGAUGUGAAAGCCCCCGGCUUAACCGGGGAGGGUCAUUGGAAACUGGAAGACUGGAGUGCAGAAGAGGAGAGUGGAAUUCCACGUGUAGCGGUGAAAUGCGUAGAUAUGUGGAGGAACACCAGUGGCGAAGGCGACUCUCUGGUCUGUAACUGACGCUGAGGCGCGAAAGCGUGGGGAGCAAACAGGAUU
rnacentral:rRNA from 1 species